GGAUGAUUGGUCUUCCAACUUGACAUCAAUCCUUGAAUGGUCUCCUUUCACAUCAAAGGACAAGAUCUUGGAACAGUUUGAGGAUAUUGGGCCACAUGGAACAAAAAUAAUAAUAUACAACUUAUGGCUGAAUGAUGAAGGCAUAUACGAAUUGAGUUUUGAUGAUGAUGAUGAGGAUAUACGGUUGAGGGAUGAAGCUAAUCGUGGAGGUCAAACAAAACUACACAAAAAAAUUGUUGAACUUCAAUCUCAUAUUUCUUAUCGCAUUCGCUAUUCAUUGAGGGC
rnacentral:misc_RNA from 1 species